AACGAACGCUGGCGGCAUGCCUAACACAUGCAAGUCGAACGACACCUUCGGGUCUAGUGGCGCACGGGUGCGUAACGCGUGGGAACCUGCCCUUAGGCUCGGAAUAACUCCCCGACAGGGGUGCUAAUAUCGGAUAAUUUCUUCGGACCAAAGAUUUAUCGCCUUUGGAUGGGCACGCGUUGGAUUAGCUAGUUGGUAGGGUAAGAGCCUAUCAAGGCGAGGAUCCAUAGCUGGUCUGAGAGGAUGAUCAGCCACACUGGGACUGAGACACGGCCGAGAAUCCUACGGGAGGCAGGAGUGGGGAAUAUUGGACAGUGGGGGAAGGCCUGAUCCAGCAAUGCCGCUUGAGUGAUGAAGGCCUUAGGGUUGUAAAGCUCUUUUACCCGGGAUGAUAAUGACAGUACCGGGAGAAUAAGCACCGGCUAACUCCGUG
rnacentral:rRNA from 1 species